AGAGAAACGUUGGAAGCAGUAAUUGCAAAAGGGUUGUGGUUGCAGCCAAAGCUACCUACAGUCGUGUGCCUUUGGACACUCCUGGAGCUUACCAGCUCAUAGAUGAAGAUACUGGAGAGAAAUUUAUUGUUUGGGGAAGUGCCGAAGAUGACUCUUCUAACUCUCCUAUCCCUUCCAACGAAGUUCUCUCUUGGAAACCUCUCCCUUCUCCGAACAACAACAACAACGACA
rnacentral:misc_RNA from 1 species